UCCGUUGUGAAGCGGAAUCUGGCGGAAUCAGGAGAAAGCAAGCGGCAAAGCUCCGGUCUAAGGAACACGAACCGCGCUCACGCUAAGUCAGGUGAGUUUGCCAAGCAAGACGAUGAUGUUCCCUCGAUUAAGUGGACACGUAUUUAAGUUACCCCAUUAGUCAGUUCGAAGUCAAUGGGGCUGAG
rfam:Nitrospirae bacterium HCH-1 contig034, whole genome shotgun sequence.